rnacentral:rRNA from 1 species
GAUGAACGCUGGCGGCGUGCCUAACACAUGCAAGUCGAACGGAGAUUACGGACGGAAGUUUUCGGAUGGAAGCCUGUAAUUAUUAGUGGCGGACGGGUGAGUAACGCGUGGGCAACCUGCCCUAUACAGGGGGAUAGCAGCUGGAAACGGCUGGUAAGACCGCAUAAGUCGGUUAAAUCGCAUGAUUUGAUCGGGAAAUGAGCAAUCAGGUAUAGGAUGGGCCCGCGUCCGAUUAGCCAGUUGGCAGGGUAAAAGCCUACCAAAGCGACGAUCGGUAGCCGGACUGCGACGUCGGACGGCCACAUUGGGACUGAGACACGGCCCAAACUCCUACGGGAGGCAGCAGUGGGGGAUAUUGCACAAUGGAGGAAACUCGGAUGCAGCGACGCCGCGUGAGUGAAGAAGUAUUUCGGUAUGUAAAGCUCUAUCAGCAGGGAAGAUGAUGACGGUACCUGACUAAGAAGCCCCGGCUAACUACGUG